AAUACUUGUGCUUUCCCUCCAUCUAGCACUGUGCCUCCAGGAGAGAGGGUUUUUUUCUGGUCGCCCCUGCAGACAUGACCCUGCUUGUCCCUGGCCAAUCCCAGGGCCAGACUGGAUUGUUGGCCCUCUGACUCACCCUAGAAGGCCUGGGGCUGGAGAGGCCUGGAACUCCUCGGAGAAGCCAAAGAUUUUGCAGAAUCAAGGAUGGAUGGAGUAUCAAAAUAAGGAACGGAAAAAACUGAAGAUAUACUAAGGAUUAAGGCCCAGGUUCAUCUAGUGUCCCCAGGUUGGUGGAUGGAAAUUUGCAUUGGUAAUAUAAUUCAAAUUUUUAGGGUCUCUGGGUAGCAGGAUCAGAAUUCACCAUUCUUUUUCUUGGCAAAGCUGACUGUGCCCAAUUGCCUCAUGUCAACAACACACAGGGAAAUGACACUAGAGGAGACACAGGGACCAAAUGCUAAUCAGGUGAUUCUACCUUUACUUUCACUGUUCUCAAUGAAACGCUAGGCACUGGACCUCAGAGACUGGGUCUCAAAUAUCAGAAAAUAAAUCUAGCCAUUUAAUAGUGGGCCAUCCCCAACUCCCACUGCCUUAGUCCCUAGUCACAGAAUUCUUCAGAAAAAGCAUGUAAGCCUGACAAUUUAAAAUUUAUAUAUAUUUUAGUAAGUUGGCUUAUUGAUACCAUAAUCGUUCAAAGGAAAAACAUUCGUGUUUUCCUGUACUUUUAAGCAGUAUUUCCAUAGUCAAUAACCUUUAUUUCCUGAGUACUCACAGGGUGCCAGGUCUUGCUCUAACCUGGGCCCACGCGAUGCAGCAAGGGAGUAACAACAGUUCUCACAGAGCUUACAUUUUAGUGGGAGACACACCUAAGCACUUUGAAAACACAGACAGCCUCAACUUUUUAUUCCUAAAAUGAGUGAAUUAGUUGUUUAGAUCUGUUUAUACUGAAAAAAUUAGUUCACUGAAACACAUGAUUCUCAAGGCUUCAGAAAGUCUGUAAGGCCCCAAAGUACACUGCAAAUUAGUAUAAUAUCAAUAUUAUAAGACUAUGGUAUGAUCACAUUUCUACAGGAAAACAAACCCAGUUUUGUCCAGGCAAAUGUUUCAUCCAUUUGAUAAAAAUUCUUGAAUUUAUCAGGUGCCAGGCAUUGUGCUGUGACUGUGAUGUGAAAAAAGAGGCCAGGACAACUGGGUCUCAUUCAGUCAGACUGGAGUGCAGUGGUGUGAUCACAGCUCAUGCAGCCUUGACCUUCCAGACUCAAACAAUCCUUUCAUGUAGCUGGGACCACAGGUGCAUGCCACCAUGAUCAGUUUAUUUUUAAAUUUUUUGUAGUGAGCCAUUGAGCCCAGCAUAAUCCUUCUAAUUUAGUUCCUUAUCUGAAAAGCGAGGACAUUGUGACAAUGAUCUCAGAACACUGUUGUGAAAAUUAAAUUCUCAAUAUAAUGUCUGGUGCCCAAAAAGCAUUAAAUUGAAGUUGGCUUAAACUAUAAUCACAUAAACACCAUGUGGUCUUUUUUUUUUUUUUGAGACACAGUCUAGCCCUAUCGCCCAGGCUCAAGUGCGGUGGCGUGACCUCGGCUCACUGUAACCUCCUCCUCCCAGGUUCAAGCGAUUCUUAUGCCUCAGCCUCCUGAGCAGCUGGGAUUAUAGGCGUGCGUCACCACAUCCAGCUAAUUUUUGUAUUUUUUGUAGAGACAGGAUUCACCAUGUUGCCCGGGCUGGUCUCAAACUUCUUCUGACCUCAGGUGAUCUGCGUGCCGCGGCCUCCCAAAGUGCUGGGAUUACAGGCAUGAGCCACCGCGCCCGGCCCACCAUGUGGUCUUAAUAGCAAGCAUGGAGUACCAAACAAAAAUUCAUUAAAUGCUCCUGGAAUAUCAUAUCCCACAAUGCAAGACAACAACAAAACACCUGGUAAGAUAACCAAGGCUAGGCUAUUAUAAACCUCCUGGUCACUCCCAAUGCAAAGAAUCAUCAAGGACACAGCUGUCUGGUAAUAUUUCAAACCCAUUCCAUCUAGGUCAAAAUAGACAACAAAUUCUCCCUUGGGACAGACUUCUCUGUCCAGGCCACAUAGCUGCAGACAUGUUCACAGGUUCCAUUUACUACACUGAACACUGUGACUUAGUCACUUGUGAAUUCAUGGCAUCAUAAAUGUCUACUGACAGCACAAUAGACAUUUAUCUCCCUAUUUUAAAAAACUGUAGUAAAAUAUACAUAAAACUUACCAUUUUAACCAUAUUUAAGUGUAAAAUUCAGUGGCCUUUAGUAUAUUCAUGUUGUUGUUUUUAAGGUUCAUCCGUGUUCCAACAUGUAUCAGAACUUCACUUAUUUUUAUGGCCGAAUAAUGUUCCAAUGCAUGUAUAUAUGACAUUUAUUUAUCCAUUCAUCCAUUAAUGGACACUGGAGUUCUUGAGAUGUUUCCACCUUCUAGCUAGUGCAAAUACUGCUGCUAUAAAGACUGGUGUGGAAGUAUCUGUUUGAAUGUCUGUUUUCAAUUCUUUUGGGUAUAUACCCAGGAGCAGAAUUGCUGGGUCAUAUAGUAAUUCCAAGUUUAACUUUUUGAGGAAUCACCGAACUGUUUUUUUCCAUAGUGCCUGAACCAUUUUACAUUAUCACCAGCAAUCCAACAUGGUUGCCAGUAUACAGCAGUAUAUGAGGUAACAGAGUAUAUGGAGCAUUUUCCAUAUACUCUCCAACACUUGUGAUGUUCCAUUUUAAUGAUAUUAGCCAUCCUAAUGAGUAUGAAGUGAUACUUCAGUGUGGUUUGAAUUUGCAUGUCCCUAAUGACUAAUGAUGUGGAGCAUCUUUUCAUGUGCUUAUUGGCCAUUUGUAUACCUUAUAUGGAGAUUCCUAUUAAAAUCUUUUACCCAGUUUUGAAUUGGGUUAAUUCCUUUUUAUACACAUUAUAUGUUUAGAAAACAAAUGGGUCAGGUUUCUUAGCAAAAAAAAGUAUUGGAAAACAACACUAAUUCUUUUUUUUUUUUUUUUAAUUUUUGAGAUGGAGUCUUGCUGUCACCCAGGCUGGAGUGCAGUGGUGUGAUCACGGCUCACUGCAACCUCCACCUCCUGGGUUCAAGUGAUAGUCCUGCCUCAACGUCCCAAGUAGCUGGGAAUGCAGACAUGCACCACCACGCUCAGUUAAUUUUUGUAUUUUUAGUAGAGAUGGCAUUUCACCAUGUUGGCCAGGCUGUUCUUGAACUUCUGACCUCAGGUGAUCUGUCUGCCUCGGCUCCCAAAGUGCUGGGAUUACAGCCACCGUGCCUGGCCAACAAGACUAAUUCUUAUUAAUGCAAAUUAAACAGCUCAUAACCACCCCAUUCUAUUACAGACAUAUGUAUACAAACACACAAACCAAUAUUUAGGUAUAAACUACUUUGAAAAACAGAGAUCAGAUUGGGUCUAUGUUGCAGAAAUUUAAGAAAAGGAAUAAUCAAAUGGCAGGACAUGGAGAAACCUCAUCACAAAAUACACCUGAGGCAUAAUCCAGACAGCAAUUUUUCCUUGUCCAGUGAAACAUAAAUUAACUUUGAACAGCCAAAAAUCUACUUUAAGUCAGGCAGAGUGCCUCAUGCUUAUAAUCUCAGCACUUUGGCAGGCCUAGGCGGAAGCAUUGCUUGAAGCCAGGAGUUUAAGAUCAGCCUGGUCAACAUAUUGAGACCCUGCCUCUACAAAAAAUUUAAAAAUUAGCUGCACAAGGUGGUGUGCACCUGUGGUCCUGGCUGCUUGGGAGGCUGAGGCAGGAGGAUUGUUUAAGCCCAAGAGUUUGAGGUUACAGUGAGCUAUGAUCAGGCCACUGCAAUCUAGCCUGGGCAACAGAGUGAGACGUUGUCUCUACAAACACACACACCUACUUUAAAUUAAAAUAUGAAACCACCAUAUGGUAGAACCCUGACCCCUGACUUUAAAAGCAGCAGAAAGUUUCUAGAUUCUCUAUGCUGCCUCCCUAUAACUACUGCGAGGCCAGACAGAUUCUCUAACUUUCUCUAGAAUGGGGAGUAUGGUAAAGCAUUACAGUUUUGGAGGUUUUCUCAUAUAAGAGAGAAUAAACGAAUUUGUGAUGGUAAUAAUGAAUCAUCAUACACAGAAUGCUUACUAUGUGGGAGGCGAUAUGCUAAGCACUUUACAUGUAUUACUCUAUUCAUCUGCUAGAGUAGGUAAAUUAUUAUUGCUACUUUAUAGAUGAUGCCCAAAUACAACAAAAGAACCAGACUCCAACUCAGUUCUAACAAUACAGUCUACAUUCUUAAGCAGUGUGCCACCAUAUGGAGAUGUCAAUUCAGCAAAGUAUAGGUUACCUAAUCACCUGGAUGGUGAUACUUACCUCCGGAAAACAGGUACAGCUAAGGUUUGAAUAACUGAGGUGGCUACAGAUCAAAAUGCAUCAACGUUUGGAAAUACUAUCAUUUGGCACAAACCAUGUUUUGGUCAAUGAUGGACUGCAUAUACAACAGUGGUCCCAUAAGAAUAUAAUAUUGUGUUUUUACUAAACCUUUUCUAUGGUUAAAUAUACAAAUACCAGUGUGUUACAAGUGCCUAUAAUACGCAGUGCAGUAAUGUGCUGCACAGGUCUGUAGCCUAGAAGCCAUAGGCUAUCCCAUCGAGCCUAGGUGUUAGUAGGCAAUGCCAUCUUGGUUUCUUGGUUUGUGAAAGUAUAAAUACACUCUAUGAUGUUCGGAGAAUGAAAUCGCCUAAUGACACAUUUCUCAGAAAGUAUUCCCAUUGUUAAAUGACACAUGAUUAUACCUAACUGGUUGAAUUUGUCAUAGGAGCCUGGGUGAGCAGAAUAUUUCUCUUCACACAAAUUCCCAAAAGUUUCACAGUCUCUGCAUUCUUUUCUGUUUCUGAUAAGAAAAACUGGUUGCCCUCCUCUAGUAGCUGGGCUUAUUUAUUCAUGAAUUAACCUUCCAUCAUCCACAGAAAAGGUAAAAUGUUAUUCUUUCCUCAUGCUUGAACAUGCUUCAAGUUAGGAUUCUGAGUUUUUUAAUACUUCAUGUAGAUCAAGUGUUAGUCUGACCGUUUAGCUCAGGAAAUGGCAUUCAGCGAGCAACAGCAUGUACAGCACAGGACAAAAUUAUCAUCUUCAGCAUCAGGUUUAAUAUGGUUCACUCCUCAUCCCACGGAGAAUUGAUGUUUAGAGAAUUUUACAUGUCUGUUUGGAGCUACUGGUCACUGCAGUGGGCACACUAUAAGAUAGGCACUAUUCUUGAACAUAGGAAACAAACAAUAACAAAAUACACUACAGAAACAAUCCCAAGAAAAGUUUAAACAAGUGAAUUAUGCAACUGAAAUGGAAUGUAAUACUAUUAAGGCUUGACAGCAGUACUUGCUCCUCAGCACUAGAUGGCAGUGUUACUAAACAAAUGUAGUAUCUGCCUGUGGCGGCUGAUGAUAAAUUUAAACUAACUUUAGUCAAUCACAUGACUUCUGACAAUAUCCAGAUCUCAGUAUUUCAUAAAAUUUUGUCACUAUAACCUAAAUAAUGGAGUCUUCCUCCCACCCCGAGAUGGAGUCUUGCUCUGUCGCCCAGGCUGGAGUGUGGUGGCACGAUCUUGGCUCACUGCAACCUCCCCCUCCUGGGUUCAAGCAAUUCUCCUGCCUCUGCCUCCUGAGUAGCUGGGAUUACAGGCGUAUGCCAUCACGCCCGGCUACUUUUUGUAUUUUUAGUAGAGACAGGGUUUCACCAUGUUGGCCAGGCUGGUCUCAAACUCCUGACCUCAUGAUCUGCCUGUCUCGGCCUCCCAAAGUGCAAAGUGCUGGGAUUACAGGUGUGAGCCUCCAUGCCCGACCAAACGUGAAGUUUUAAAAGUAUAUGAAAAAUGACGGAAUAACACAUCAGCACUGUCUGUACCACUUGAGUUCUGUAUGUCUACAGACGCAGUGCUAUUGUUGAAAGGCUUAGCAUCUAUGGCUUGUCACACUCAUUUUUCAUCUUUCAAUGGACAGUGCUUUAUGACUUUUUUUUUUUUUUUGAGAUGGAGUUUCACUCUUGUUGGCCAGGCUGGAGUGCAAUGGCACAAUCUCAGCUUACUGCAACCUCCGCCUCCCGGGUUCAAGCGAUUCUCCUGCCUCAGCCUCUCAAGUAGCUGGGAUUACAGGCAUGUGCCACCACCCCUGGCUAAUUUCUUUUCUAUUUAGUAGAGAUGGGGUUUCACCAUGUUGGUCAGGCUGGUCUUGAACUCCUGACCUCAGGUGAUCCACUUGCCUUGGCCUCCCAAAGUGCUAGGAUUACAGGCGUGAGCCACUGUGCCUGGCUGAUUCUUUUUUUUGUUGUUGGAUUUUUGAAACAGGGUCUCCCUUGGUCGCCCAGGCUGGAGUGCAGUGGUGCGAUCUUGGCUCACUAUAACCUCCACCUCCUGGUUUCAAGUGAUCCUCCCACUUUAGCCUCCUGAGUAGCUGUGAUUACAGGCGUGCACCACCACACCCGGCUAAUUUUUGUAUUUUUAUUAGAGACAGGGUUUCACCAUGUUGGCCAGGCUGUUCUCAAACUCCUGGACUCAAGGGAUCCGCCUGCCUCCACUUCCCAAAGUCCCGAGAUUACAGGUGUGAGUCACCAUGCCUGACCUUAUAAUUCUUAAGUCAUUUUUUUCUGGUCCAUUUCUUCCUUAGGGUCUCACAACAAAUCUGCAUUAGGCGGUACAAUAAUCCUUAACUUCAUGAUUCACAAAAGGAAGAUGAAGUGAUUCAUGAUUUAGAAAGGGGAAGUAGUAAGCCCACUGCACACUCCUGGAUGAUGAUCCUAAAUCCAGAUACAGUAAAAAUGGGGUAUGGGAAGGUAGAAUACAAAAUUUGGUUUAAAUUAAUUAUCUAAAUAUCUAAAAACAUUUUUGGAUACAUUGUUGAUGUGAAUGUAAGACUGUACAGACUUCCUAGAAAACAGUUUGGUGGUUUCUUUCUUUUUUUUUUGAGACAGGGUUUUGCUCUUGUUGCCCAGGCUGGAGUGCAAUGGCAUGACCUCAGCUCACUGCAACCUUUGCCUCCCAGGUUCAAGCGAUUCUCGUGCCUCAGCCUCCCGAAUAGCUGGGAUUCAGGUACCACCACCACCAUGCCCGUCCAAUUUUUGUAUUUUUAGUAGAGACGGGGUUUCACCAUGUUGGUCAGGCUAGUCUCGAACUCCUGACCUCAAGUGAUCCACCCGCCUUGGCCUCCCAAGGCAGUUUCUUAUUAAACUAAAACAUGCAAUACCAAAUGACCUGACAUUUGCACUCCUGGGCAUUUAUCUCAGAGAAAUGAAGAUUUAUGUUCACAUAAAAACCUGUACAUAAAUGUUCAUAGGAGCUUUAUUUGUAAUAACCCAAAACUGAAAACAAUCUAGAUGUUCUUCAGUAAGUGAGUUGCCAAAAACAGUUAAACAAAUUUUAGUACUUGCGUAUCAUGUAAUACUCUCAGUAAUAAAAGGAAACAAACUUGAUACAUGUAACAACUUCAGUGAAAUGUUCAGGAAUUAUGCUGAGUGAAGAAAGACAAUCUCAAGAGGUUAUAUAUAUGAUUCCAUUUAUAUAAUAUUCUUGAAAUGACAUUAUAGAACUGGAAAAUGGAUUAAUAGUUGCCAGGGCUAAACGAUGGCGGGAUCGGGGAGGCAGAGGUAGACGCAGAGGCAGAAUAGGGUAUGACAGGGAAGUCAGUGUGUUUAUGAAAGGGCAAAACAUCUUGGGGGUGAUGAAAAUAUUUAGCAUCUUGACUGUGGUAGUGGAUAUACAAAAAGCUAUACAUGAGAUAAAAUUACACAGAACUGAAUAUACACACAACAAAGGAAAUCUGAACAACAUGUGUGGAUUGUGUUAAUAUCCUGGUUGUCAUAUCGUACUAUAUUUUGCAAAAUGUUAUCAAUGGGCAAAUGGGUAAUGGGUACAUAGGAUCUUUCUGCAUUAUUUCUUACAACUGCAUAUAAAUCUGUAAUUAUCUCAAAACAAAAAGUCUACUUAAAAACCUACGGAUUUUAUUUGAUAUCUGUUCUUUUAUCAGACUAUCAGUUAUAAAGAGAACUAAUUCAACAAAUAUUUACAGUGCUACAUGCUAAGGAUACAGCAAUGAACAAGGCUCAUAAAACUGCCCUUCUUUCCCGUAAGAGACAGCUUAAAAACAAAAAAACAAAACUGUUUUACAUGGUGCUUAUAUUUUGGUGGGCAGGAGACAGACAAAAAACAAAAACAGAAACCAUCUUAGCUGGUUAGAAACCUUAGUGAGAAAAUAAAGUACAGUAAGAGGAUGGAGGUGAGGAAGGGUUGUUUUAUUUUAUUUAUUUACUUAUUUAUUUUGAGCCAGAGCCUUGCUCUGUCGCCUAGGCUGGAGUGCAGUGGCGCAAUCACGGCUCACUGCAACCUCCACCUCCCGGGUUCAAGCAAUUUCUCCUACCUCAGCUUCCCGAAUAGCUGGGAUUACUGGUGUCUAUUACCACACCCGGCUAAUUUUGUAUUUUUAGUAGAAACGGGGUUUCGCCAUGUUGGCCAGGCUGGUCUCGAACUCCUGACCUCAGGUGAUCUGCCUGCCUUGGCCUCCUGAAGUGCUGGGAUUACAGGCAUGAGCCACUGCACCUGGGAGUUUUAUUUUAUUUUUAAAUUAAAUUAAAUUAAAUUAAAUUUUUGAGACAGGGCCUUGCUCUGCUACCCAGGCUGGAGUGCAGUGGUGUGAUCAUGGCUCACUGCAAUCUCAAACCUCCUGAGCUCAAGCGAGGCUCCUACCUCAGCCUCCCAAUUAGCUGGGACCACAGGUGCAUGACAUCACGUCUGGCUAAUUUUAAAAUUUGUUUCUAGAGAAGGGGUCUCACUAUGCUGCCCAGGCUGGUCUCUAACUCCUGGGCUCAAGUGAUCCUCCUGCCUUGGCCUCCCAAAGAGCUGAGAUUACAGACGAGAGCCACUGUGCCUGUCCAAGGGGUGUUACUGUUAUUAUUUUUUUCUUCCUUGAGACAGAGUCUUACUCUGUUGCUCAGACUGGAGUGCACUGGUGCAAUCUCGGCUCACUGCAACCUCUGCCUCCAGGGUUCAAGCCAUUCUGGUGCUGCAGCCUCCUGAGUAGCUGGCAUUACAGGCACGUGCCACCACACCCAGCUAAUUUUUGUAUUUUUAGUAGAGACAGGGUUUCGUCAAUUGGCCAGGCUGGUUUCAAACUCCUGGGCUCAAGCGAUCUGCCUGCCUCAACCUUCCAAAGUGCUGGCGUUAUAGGUGUGAGCCACUGUGCCUAGCCAAGGGUUAUUUUAAAUAGGGUAGUCAGAGAAGGCCUGACUUAUGGAGGACAUAUGAGGCUUGAGGGAGUAAAGGGAGCAAGCCCUAUCUGGGAGGAAAGUAUUACAGGCCAAGGGAACAAGUGCAAAGGCCUGUCUCGAGGCAGGAACAUAUCUGGCACAUUUGGGGAAAGACAAGAGAGCCAAUGGGACUGGAGCCAGGUGAGCAAUGCAGAGUGACAGAUGAGGCCUGGGGUAGAGGGGCCAGAUAAGGUAGGGCCUCGUGGGCCACUGUCAUGAUCCUGGCUAUGAUUUGAGUGAGCUCGGACACUGCUGGAGGGUUUUAAGCAGAGGAGUGCCAUGAUCUGACUUAUGUUUUGCAAGGAUUACUCUGGCUGUUGGGUUAAGAAUAGGUAAGAAGCAACCAGGGAGCAAAAGAUGGGAAACCAGGUAGCAGGCUACUGCAAAAUCCAGAUUAAACAGUUACUCGGAUCAUGACCUAGGAGGAUGUCAUUAUGUUGCUGCACAUUUGAACCUUGACACAACUGACAAAUCAAACUUGCACUCAUUAGAAUCCUUACUGAAUGUUACUCUUUGUUACUUAGGACAAAGCUAGAGCUUUAGCUGUACAAACCUUAUCCUGUGACCCGGAGGGCAUUUCUUCUAGAGUCUCGGUGCUUCCCAGAUUGGAGAGCUGAGUGCUUGGCUGUAACCCAGGGCUGGAGAUAUUUGAGUCACCCAUCUGAUUCUUUAAAAAGUUAAAAGAAAAAAAUAUAUCUUGUGAAAAAAAUUUGCUAUUAUUUGGCUCACAAAACAGCAUCUGAGGUUAUCAAAAAUGUUAUUUUUUAAAAAGAAGAAGAAAAACCAACCUCAAAAUGUUUGCUCUGUACUCCAAUGUAAAUAACAUGCAAUAAAAUUUCUAGAACAUUGAGCACCUAAUUUUAGACAACAGUGUUGGCCACAACUGUUAUUUUUAUCACCUUUUUAAGAAAAAGAUAAUGGUAUUACUUUAUCACAUAUUCUUUUAAUCUUAUUUAUUUGUUUUUCCAAGAUGGAGUCUUGCUCUGUUGCCCAGGCUGGACUGCAGUGGCGCA
rnacentral:lncRNA from 1 species